AGAGUUUGAUCCUGGCUCAGGAUGAACGCUGACAGAAUGCUUAACACAUGCAAGUCUACUUGAACUUCGGUUUGGGUGGCGGACGGGUGAGUAACGCGUAAAGAACUUGCCUCACAGUUAGGGACAACAUUUGGAAACGAAUGCUAAUACCUGAUAUUAUGAUUUUAGGGCAUCCUAAGAUUAUGAAAGCUAUAUGCGCUGUGAGAGAGCUUUGCGUCCCAUUAGCUAGUUGGAGAGGUAACGGCUCACCAAGGCGAUGAUGGGUAGCCGGCCUGAGAGGGUGAACGGCCACAAGGGGACUGAGACACGGCCCUUACUCCUACGGGAGGCAGCAGUGGGGAAUAUUGGACAAUGGACCAAAAGUCUGAUCCAGCAAUUCUGUGUGCACGAUGACGUUUUUCGGAAUGUAAAGUGCUUUCAGUUGGGAAGAAAAAAAUGACGGUACCAACAGAAGAAGUGACGGCUAAAUACGUGCCAGCAGCCGCGGUAAUACGUAUGUCACAAGCGUUAUCCGGAUUUAUUGGGCGUAAAGCGCGUCUAGGUGGUUAUGUAAGUCUGAUGUGAAAAUGCAGGGCUCAACUCUGUAUUGCGUUGGAAACUGCAUGACUAGAGUACUGGAGAGGUAAGCGGAACUACAAGUGUAGAGGUGAAAUUCGUAGAUAUUUGUAGGAAUGCCGAUGGGGAAGCCAGCUUACUGGACAGAUACUGACGCUAAAGCGCGAAAGCGUGGGUAGCAAACAGGAUUAGAUACCCUGGUAGUCCACGCCGUAAACGAUGAGCACUAGGUGUUGGGCCCGUUAGGGCUCAGUGCCGCAGUUAACGCAAUAAGUGCUCCGCCUGGGGAGUACGCUCGCAAGAGUAAAACUCAAAGGAAUUGACGGGGACCCGCACAAGCAGCGGAGCAUGUGGUUUAAUUCGAAGCAACGCGAAGAACCUUACCAGGGCUUGACAUUUAGGUGAAGCGGCGGAAACGUCGUGGCCGAAAGGAGCCUAAACAGGUGGUGCAUGGCUGUCGUCAGCUCGUGUCGUGAGAUGUUAGGUUAAGUCCUGCAACGAGCGCAACCCCUAUUUCUAGUUGCCAGCACAUAAUGGUGGGAACUCUAGAAAGACUGCCGGUGAUAAAUCGGAGGAAGGUGGGGACGACGUCAAAUCAUCAUGCCCUUUAUGUCUUGGGCAACACACGUACUACAAUGGCCGUUACAGAGAGAUGCAAUACAGUGAUGUGGAGCAAAACUCAAAAAGCGGUCUCAGUUCGGACUGUAGGCUGAAAUUCGCCUACACGAAGUCGGAAUUGCUAGUAAUGGCAGGUCAGAAUACUGCCGUGAAUACGUUCCCGGGCCUUGUACACACCGCCCGUCACACCAUGAGAGUUAGAAAUACCCGAAGCCUGUGAGCUAACAGUUUAAUAUUGAGGCAGCAGUCGAAGGCAGAGCUAAUGAUUGGGGUGAAGUCGUAACAAGGUAGCCGUAGGAGAACCUGCGGCUG
rnacentral:rRNA from 1 species